rnacentral:rRNA from 1 species
CCUACGGGCGGCAGCAGUGGGGAAUCUUGCACAAUGGGGGAAACCCUGAUGCAGCGACGCCGCGUGAGUGAAGAAGCGUUUCGGCGCGUAAAGCUCUGUCAGCGGGGAAGAAACACGGUUCGCGAGAGCCGCGGACGGUACCCGACCAAGAAGCCCCGGCUAACUACGUGCCAGCAGCCGCGGUAAUACGUAGGGGGCAAGCGUUAUGCGGUUUCAGUGGGUGUAAAGGGAGCGUAGACGGCGAGACAAGUCUGGAGUGAAAGGCCGGGGCCCAACCUCGGGACUGCUCUGGAAACUGUCUGGCUGGAGUACAGGAGAGGUGAGUGGAAUUCCUAGUGUAGCGGUGGAAUGCGUAGAUAUUAGGAAGAACACCAGUGGCGAAGGCGGCUUACUGGACUGUAACUGACGUUGAGGCUCGAAAGCGUGGGGAGCAAACAGGAUUAGAUACCCGAGUAGUC